CAGAGCAAUAGCAGCGGCAGGCAACUUAUGUUGAGCAGCAAUUGGUCAAAUGACAGUCUGCCCAACAUGGCUGCUCAACCAGGUAAAAAGUGAGAUUUAAAAAGAAAAACAAUAUACAUCAUAUUUAAACAAUAUAAUUAAUAUCAUGAUUACAUUCAAACUCACAAACGCUGCUCACAAAUACAACACUACUCUGGGUAUUGAUUAGAAUCUUACAUUAUGAAAAUAAAUAAAAAUAAAUCGAUGUCAAUAGAACAAGCAUUGGUUUAGCCAGUAUAAGGACCCGGAGUCUGGAAUCAUUUUUUGAAAAGACUAUAUUUAUGAUUGGACAAGUCCAACCAACCCAUGUGGAAGUCAUGUUUAGAUAGACCUUUGAUUCAUGUUAUUUUCUUAUUUCCGUACACAGGUUCCUAUUUUUCAUCAAACGUAUUGUCUGAUUAAUGAGUAAUCAAUAUUUUUUGUAAGCUCUGCUAUAUUAUGGAGUUAUAUUUACUCACGAUGUUUCUGAUAAAUACAAUUUCUUUCAAAUCGUUGGAGGCUUGAAACCAGCUUAAUGUAUUUUUAAUGGGCCAUAAACUGAACGCAGAAUCCAUACAUCAAAUUUUUC